CCACCCCCUGCUCCUCCAGCAGUAACGGCACUCUGUAGAUGGAUGACACGUCCUGCACACAGAUUACCUGCGACAUGACAGCACAUUGAGGACUACAAUGACGUAUGAUGAAAGCCCUUUGGAUGACAUUUUGUGCUUUCGGAGGCUGAGCGCUCUCUCUGCAGCGCUGCUUAGGGUUCAUGCAUCUAACUGGAGGAGCUGCUGGAGAUGAGUUUCCUGAAUGUCUGGUCCAUGGAAGAACUGAUCUCACACGCCGGGCUGAAGAGACCGAGGUCCAAAGUUCUCUGAUGUCGUCUGGAGCCAGGCCAUGGAUUUCCUUAAAGGUUUUGUGUUGGUGCGCGUAUGAAUCCUCGGCCCUGGGUGUAUUGAAUAUCAUCAUCACUGACUAAAUCCGACAGUGACUGACAGCAGCUCAGACGCGACGUACUGUACUGUACAGGCUCUCCACAGUCAGACAGAUUCAGAGUUUGAACCCAUCAGAGGUGGAGAAGAACAGACCGACCACCUGCUGCCUCUUUGAGCUGACCUGACGUCUGCCACCGACAGAUGAUGAGGCAGAGGCUUCGUUGCUCGAGGGCUCUCAGAAAGCACAGAAUGGCUCCAGAAGAAAGAAAGGAGGGACUGUCUGAGACCGCUGGUCUUGACAGGGCUUUCAUUGAGCAGCAUCUGCUCUGUCACUGCUGUCUGUGUCCAGUUUGACUCAAUGGGCCGUCAUACUCAAGAGACCCUCACAGGAAAACAGGCCUUUGCUUUAUGAUUUUGCUAAUAAACGGUUUCAAAGGGUG